UACGAAGGGGGCUAGCGUUGCUCGGAAUCACUGGGCGUAAAGGGUGCGUAGGCGGGUUUUUAAGUCAGGGGUGAAAUCCUGGAGCUCAACUCCAGAACUGCCUUUGAUACUGGAGAGCUUGAGUCCGGAAGAGGUGAGUGGAACUCCGAGUGUAGAGGUGAAAUUCGUAGAUAUUCGGAAGAACACCAGUGGCGAAGGCGGCUCACUGGUCCGGUACUGACGCUGAGGUGCGAAAGCGUGGGGAGCAACAGGAGUA
rnacentral:rRNA from 1 species